CAUUAGCGAAUUGUAAUGGGGGUUGAUGCUGGCGGUCGCCGCGUUCGGCUGCAUGUGCUUGCCCCUGACAAUCUCUAUCCAAACACCUGUGCACCUUUUAAGGGUUUCUGAGUCGUGACCGCCAUUCUGUUGGAGGUCCUCCUUAGAUUCCCUUCUUUUUACAUACACUAUUUGUAAUGAUGAACGUGGCUUGGGCCGGACACGGCUCUUAAAAUAUACAACUUUUAACAACGGAUCUCUUGGCUCUCGCAUCGAUGAAGAACGCAGCGAAAUGCGAUAAGUAAUGUGAAUUGCAGAAUUCAGUGAAUCAUCGAAUCUUUGAACGCACCUUGCGCUCCCUGGUAUUCCGGGGAGCACGCCUGUUCGAGUGUCGUGAAGUUCUCAAGCUGGGGAUGCUUUUCAUCUCUUCCAGAGAUGGUGGGCUCCCCGAAGCUCGGUUCAUUGGGCUUUGCCGUGCCCUACCUAUUGGGGCGGCUGGCCUUAAAUACAUUAGCUGGUCCUCAUGUGAGAUUUGGUUCUACUCAGCGUGAUAAUAAUUCUGACCGCUGAGGACAUCGUUCGGGAUGGCCAAAUCUCAUUUGGGUUGCUUCUAAUCUGGUUUGCAGCUCUUUCUGAGCCUGCUCCACUUUCAAUUUUGACCUCGAAUCAGGUGGGACUACCCGCUGAACUUAAGCAUAUCAAUAAGCGGAGGAAAAGAAACUAACAAGGAUUCCCCUAGUAACGGCGAGUGAAGCGGGAAGAGCUCAAAUUUAGAAUCUGGUAGUCUUCGGCUGCCCGAAUUGUAAUCUAGAGAAGCGUUUUCCGCGCUGGACCGUGUACAAGUUUCCUGGAUACGGAACAUCAUAGA
rnacentral:rRNA from 1 species